rnacentral:ncRNA from 1 species
GCUUAAUUUGACUCAACACGGGAAAUCUCACCCGCUCGGACCGGACAGGAUUGACAGAUUGAUAGCUCUUUCUCGAUUCCGUGGGUGGUGGUGCAUGGCCGUUCUUAGCUGGUGGACCGAUUUGUCUGGUUAAUUCCGAUAAAAUGGAAUAUGGGUGGUAUGUUUUCCAAACUUUAAAAUAUUUUAAAGUGUUUUCUCAUGACUAUUAUAAAAAGUAAAAAUGUAAAAGGAUAAAAGUGAAUAAUUAUUAAAUAUAUAGUCCCAAGAGGAAUUUAUAAGCA